rnacentral:rRNA from 1 species
CACGGGUGCGUAACGCGUAUGCAAUUCUACCUUUUGCAGAGGGAUAGCCCAGAGAAAAUUUGGAUUAAUACCUCAUAGUAUGUGAGAAUGGCAUCAUUUUCACAUUAAAGUCACAACGGCAAAAGAUGAGCAUGCGUCCCAUUAGCUAGUUGGUAAGGUAACGGCUUACCAAGGCAACGAUGGGUAGGGGUCCUGAGAGGGAGAUUCCCCCACACUGGUACUGAGACACGGACCAGACGUCCUACGGGAGGCAGCAGUGAGGAAUAUUGGACAAUGGGCGCAAGCCUGAUCCAGCCAUGCCGCGUUGCAGGAUGACGGUCCUAUGGAUUGUAAACUGCUUUUGUACACGGAAGAAACACUGGUUCGUGAACCAGCUUGACGGUACUGUAAGAAUAAGGAUCGGCUAACUCCGUG